UACGUAGGUGGCAAGCGUUGUCCGGAUUUACUGGGCGUAAAGAGCGCGCAGGCGGUCGAAUAAGUCGAAUGUGAAAGCCCCCGGCUCAACUGGGGAGGGUCAUUCGAUACUGUUCGACUUGAAGGCAGGAGAGGGAAGCAGAAUUCCCGGUGUAGCGGUGAAAUGCGUAGAUAUCAGAAGGAACAUCAGUGGCGAAAGCGACUUCCUGGACCAGAACUGACGAUCAGGCACGAAAGCGUGGGGAGCAAACAGG
rnacentral:rRNA from 1 species